rnacentral:rRNA from 1 species
AUGUCCUGCUUCGCAGUGCCCGUGCGCACCUCCUCGUCGUCGUCGAGGAUAAGCGGCAGCAGGCAGCCGUGGCGGUGGUGGCGCAAGUGCGCGGGCCUCGCCGCCGCCGCGCACACCAAGCUCCGCCGCACCGUCUUACGCGUCCGGUGGUCGGCCACGGGGCGGCUGGGCGGCCACCGUCGGCGCGCGCCGGCGCCGCCCCUGCUGUCCGUGCAGCGCGGGGACCACAUGAGCUUCGCGCCGGUCUACGUCGACGAGCUCUACAGCCAGCCCAAGGGCCUUAGCGUCGUGCACGAGGAGCAGCAACCGCAGCCCAGCACCAGCAAACUCGCACGGCCAGCCGGCGGUGUGAACAAGGCACGCGUGCACGGCGUCGCCGCUGCUACCGGUGGCAGCAAAGCACGUGCGGCGACUGCGGCCGCCAAGAGCCUCGGCGUGAGGGGCUUCUUGCUGAGCCCGGGCAGAGGAGGCGUUGGGAUGGGGGAGGUGGACGUGAGGGCGGAGAUGUUCAUCAGGAAGUUCAGGGAGGAGAUGAGGCUGCAGAGUCAGAGGUCGGCCGAGGAACUCCAGGCCAUGCUUGCAAGAGGCCUAUGA